AUACGAAGGGGGCUAGCGUUGUUCGGAAUUACUGGGCGUAAAGCGCGCGUAGGCGGAUUGGUCAGUUAGGGGAGAAAUCCCAGGGCUUAACCCUGGAACUGCCUCUAAUACUGCCAGUCUUGAGUUCGGGAGAGGUGAGUGGAAUUCCUAGUGUAGAGGUGAAAUUCGUAGAUAUUAGGAAGAACACCAGUGGCGAAGGCGGCUCACUGGCCCGAUACUGACGCUGAGGCGCGAAAGCGUGGGGAGCAAACAGGAUUAGAAACCCUAGUAGUCC
rnacentral:rRNA from 1 species